CUGUCUCCUCUCUCUGUCUCCUCUCUCUGUCUCCUCUCUCUGUCUCCUCUCUCUGUCUCCUCUCUCUGUCCUGUAUUACAGGAGAAGUACUCCCUCCAUGUUUACUCUGUGAAUGGCUGUCUGCUGUCGUCUGUCAGCCUGGAGGAAGAGGUGACAGCUCUCUACCUGGUCCCUGAGUACAUCAUUCUGGGGACCCAGCAAGGAAACCUACACAUCAGACACCUGUACAGUCUGGCGCUGGCGGUGUCUCCUCUGCCGUUGAAGGUGGCUGUGAGGAGUGUGUCGGUGACCAGAGAGAGUAGCCACAUCCUGGUGGGCCUGCAGGAUGGAAAGCUCAUCGUGGUGGGGGCUGGGAAACCAGAGGAGGUACGCUCGGGUCAGUUUUCCCGUCGGCUGUGGGGCUCAACACGCCGAAUCUCUCAGGUUUCCUCAGGAGAGACAGAAUACAACCCCACUGAGACUUCUGGGAAGUGAGGGUCGCCAUGAAAACAUAUGGAAAGCAAUAUUAUCGUAGCCUGUUAGGCUCACCCGAGGCAAGGUUGAUGGCCGACACCCAAAUGGCAUCCUAUUCCUAUAUAGUGCCUAUUGGGUUCUGGUCAAGGACAGCAGUAUAUAGGGAACAGGGUGCCAUUUGGGACACAGACAUUUUUCUACCCACCAGCAGUGGAUUUGCUGGAUCAGAAUGAAGGGAGUAGAGACCCUGGAUGUUGGCGUCAGAAAGCCCACCCAGAACUUUACUGGACUGAUUGACUGUUAAACGGCCUCUCCAAACCUCUCUGGGUCCAAACCUCUCUGGGUCCAAACCUCUAUGGGUUCAAGCCUCUAU